UACGGAGGGAGCUAGCGUUGUUCGGAAUUACUGGGCGUAAAGCGCGCGUAGGCGGCUUUGUAAGUUAGAGGUGAAAGCCCGGGGCUCAACUCCGGAACUGCCUUUAAGACUGCAUCGCUUGAAUCCGGGAGAGGUGAAUGGAAUUCCGAGUGUAGAGGUGAAAUUCGUAGAUAUUCGGAAGAACACCGGUGGCGAAGGCGGCGACCUGGUCCUUUGACUGACGCUGAGGCGCGAAAGCGUGGGGAGCAAACAGG
rnacentral:rRNA from 1 species